GCCAGACCGCCGCUGGUGCAAGUGCCGAAAGGCCGCACUGGAGGAACGUCCGGACUGCACAGGGCAGCGUAGCAGCUAACGGCUGUCCACCGUGAGGUGAGGAUCAGAGCAACAGAGACGAGUCCCAGGGGAGUGCUUGCGAAGGUAGACCACUGGGGGUGAAACGGGCAAUCUCUACGCGCAGCAACACCAAGUAGGCACACGUUGACGGGGCCCCCGGAGUGUGCGGGUAGGUGGCAUCGAGCCGGCGGGGCGACCCCCGGCCCAGAGUAAUGGCGGUCACAUGCGGGCAACCGCGUGCACAGAAUCCGGCUUAUCGGCGGGCUUCA
rnacentral:RNase_P_RNA from 1 species